GAUCACGGAAGGAAGGCGUCAAUGAUCGUUGGAGCUCGGAUGCGGCGUCGGAGGCUGGGAUUCCGGCUCGGGAUUCCUUCUUUGGACCUUGGUUGAGAGGCGGGCUGGUGCGAGGAGCCGGACGCGAUCGCUGGGAGCUUGGAUCAUGGCUUGAAUAGGGAAGGAGGAUAGCUGCGUUGGAAGGAGCUGGGAGACACCAAGUUCCAUCCAAUUAGUC
rnacentral:lncRNA from 1 species